ACACUCCCGCGGGAGGCAGCAGUGGGGAAUAUUGGACAAUGGGCGCAAGCCUGAUCCAGCCAUGCCGCGUGAGUGAUGAAGGCCCUAGGGUUGUAAAGCUCUUUUGUGCGGGAAGAUAAUGACGGUACCGCAAGAAUAAGCCCCGGCUAACUUCGUGCCAGCAGCCGCGGUAAUACGAAGGGGGCUAGCGUUGCUCGGAAUCACUGGGCGUAAAGGGUGCGUAGGCGGGUCUUUAAGUCAGGGGUGAAAUCCUGGAGCUCAACUCCAGAACUGCCUUUGAUACUGAAGAUCUUGAGUUCGGGAGAGGUGAGUGGAACUGCGAGUGUAGAGGUGAAAUUCGUAGAUAUUCGCAAGAACACCAGUGGCGAAGGCGGCUCACUGGCCCGAUACUGACGCUGAGGCACGAAAGCGUGGGGAGCAAACAGGAUUAGAAACCCUUGUAGUCCCAUGAU
rnacentral:rRNA from 1 species